rnacentral:lncRNA from 1 species
CCUGUGGUGCCCUACACAAAGCAACAGUGAAGGCAGAUUCACCCGGAAAAGAAUGCUGGGAGAGGGGCGUAAGACAGAAUGAUGCAACCCAGGUACUGUGCCGCACAGAGGCAGCAGCUCGACUCUGCCAGAGCUGGCUUUGCAGGGAAGCUUUAUCGGCAUUUUGAAGGAUGUGUAGGGGCUCCAGGUCUUGUAUACCAGUGAAACUACUGAUGCCAGCUGGUCUAGAGGAAUCCAAGAGAAGCUGAUUCACCAAAGAAGGCUGUUUCCAGAUCAUGAUGAUUUCAUCCAUCCUACCUUGACCAAUCAAUGAUCCCAAUUUUCCAGUUACUUGCCCUCUACAAUCCCCUUAAAAGUCCCAGCCCAGAACUUCUCAGGGAGAUGGAUUUGAGGGUCCCUCCCAACUCCUUGCUUGGUUACCCUGUGAUCAUUAAACUCUUUCUCUGCUGCAAACCCUGUUGUCUUGGUGUAUUGGUUUGUUCCAGUGCAAUGGGCAUAUGAACUCGUUGGUCCUGUAACAAACUCUGCUGUUGUAGCAUGAAAGCUGCCAUAGAUAAUACAUAAAUGAACAUGUGUAGCUGUAUUC